UAGGGAAUCUUCGGCAAUGGACGGAAGUCUGACCGAGCAACGCCGCGUGAGUGAAGAAGGUUUUCGGAUCGUAAAGCUCUGUUGUAAGAGAAGAACGAGUGUGAGAGUGGAAAGUUCACACUGUGACGGUAUCUUACCAGAAAGGGACGGCUAACUACGUGCCAGCAGCCGCGGUAAUACGUAGGUCCCGAGCGUUGUCCGGAUUUAUUGGGCGUAAAGCGAGCGCAGGCGGUUAGAUAAGUCUGAAGUUAAAGGCUGUGGCUUAACCAUAGUAGGCUUUGGAAACUAUUUAACUUGAGUGCAAGAGGGGAGAGUGGAAUUCCAUGUGUAGCGGUGAAAUGCGUAGAUAUAUGGAGGAACACCGGUGGCGAAAGCGGCUCUCUGGCUUGUAACUGACGCUGAGGCUCGAAAGCGUGGGGAGCAAACAGGAUUAGAUACCCUGGUAGUCCACGCUGUAAACGAUGAGUGCUAGGUGUUAGACCCUUUCCGGGGUUUAGUGCCGUAGCUAACGCAUUAAGCACUCCGCCUGGGGAGUACGACCGCAAGGUUG
rnacentral:rRNA from 1 species